rnacentral:rRNA from 1 species
AUGUACAUGCCUACAACAUAGAGUUAAUGCAUCGAAUCCCAUUAGAAAUCCGAAGUUAAGUGUGCUCCAACUAGAGUAGUACUGGGAUGGGUGACCACACAGGAAGUCCUAGUAUUUUACAUU